UACGGGGGGAGCAAGCGUUGUUCGGAUUUACUGGGCGUAAAGGGCGCGUAGGCGGUCAGCACAAGUCAGUUGUGAAAUCCCCGGGCUUAACUCGGAAAGGUCAACUGAUACUGUGCGACUAGAGUGCAGAAGGGGCAACUGGAAUUCUCGGUGUAGCGGUGAAAUGCGUAGAUAUCGAGAGGAACACCUGCGGCGAAGGCGGGUUGCUGGGCUGACACUGACGCUGAUGCGCGAAAGCCAGGGGAGCGAACGGG
rnacentral:rRNA from 1 species